CGCUAAGAAGCUAAAUACGGUCCAGCGUUAGCCUUUUAAGCUAAAAAAUGGUGCCUACCGACCACCCUUAGUGA
rnacentral:tRNA from 1 species